ensembl:lincRNA
GUCUGGGCGCGCUGGGCUCAUUCCGGCGUCAGAAAGCAGCGCUGCCGGGCGGGCGAGCGGCCUUAGGGAAGCCAGAGUUGGGGGCUGCAGCCCAAGAGAGGCGGAAGACUCCGGGCAGCCCUGUGGGGCAGGCCGGGUGGAGUUGUAGACCUGCCCCCAGGGUUGUUCUCUUGUGAGGCCACUAUCCCGGUCUGCCCACUAUCCAUGGCCCAGGUUUGUAUUUAGAGUGAAAACGAAAAGGAGAGAGAGUCUAACCUGGUCACAGAGGUAGACAUUCAGGGUGGGCCUAGUGACCGUGCCAAAGCUUUGGCUAGUGAAAAGGGCAGACGGCAAGGUCCCCUUCGGGUCAACUGUGCGCCUUCGAUGGCUCAGAGACAAGAGACACUCUGAGCCGGUCCAAGGGCACGCCCUGCUCUCCUCCUCCUAGUUCACCCCAUGG